AUUUUAGUACAUAGCAUAAAAUCACGAAUAAUAGUUUCACGCGAUUUCUUUACCAACCUUAUCACAAACACAACGACCUUUUCUACAAUAACAACAUAAUGGAAAAAGUCCUACAUGACAAGAACAGUCAUUGUCUAUUUUACAUAGAUCCCCUGCAUUAAUUCCUAUUUUUUGAUCCACAACUUUAUCCUCCAAACCUG
rnacentral:lncRNA from 1 species